AGAAAAGUAUUUAAAAUUAAUAAACUCUAAUUUGCAUUUAGGAAUUGAGAUAUCCUUUUCUA
rnacentral:tRNA from 1 species